UAGGGAAUCUUCCGCAAUGGACGCAAGUCUGACGGAGCAACGCCGCGUGAGUGAAGAAGGAUUUCGGUUCGUAAAACUCUGUUGUUAGAGAAGAACAGCGCAUAGAGUAACUGUUAUGCGUGUGACGGUAUCUAACCAGAAAGCCACGGCUAACUACGUGCCAGCAGCCGCGGUAAUACGUAGGUGGCAAGCGUUGUCCGGAUUUAUUGGGCGUAAAGCGAGCGCAGGCGGUCAAUUAAGUCUGAUGUGAAAGCCCCCGGCUCAACCGGGGAGGGUCAUUGGAAACUCGUUGACUUGAGUGCAGAAGAGGAGAGUGGAAUUCCAUGUGUAGCGGUGAAAUGCGUAGAUAUAUGGAGGAACACCAGUGGCGAAGGCGACUCUCUGGUCUGUAACUGACGCUGAGGCUCGAAAGCGUGGGUAGCAAACAGG
rnacentral:rRNA from 1 species